rnacentral:rRNA from 1 species
CCUACGGGAGGCAGCAGUGGGGAAUUUUGGACAAUGGGCGAAAGCCUGAUCCAGCAAUGCCGCGUGUGUGAAGAAGGCCUUCGGGUUGUAAAGCACUUUUGGCGGGAACGAAACGGUGUUGGUUAAUAUCCGACGCUAAUGACGGUACCCGCAGAAUAAGCACCGGCUAACUACGUGCCAGCAGCCGCGGUAAUACGUAGGGUGCAAGCGUUAAUCGGAAUUACUGGGCGUAAAGCGUGCGCAGGCGGUUAUGCAAGUCAGAUGUGAAAUCCCCGGGCUUAACCUGGGCACUGCAUUUGUGACUGCAUGGCUAGAAUCUGGCAGAGGGGGGUAGAAUUCCACGUGUAGCAGUGAAAUGCGUAGAGAUGUGGAGGAACACCGAUGGCGAAGGCAGCCCCCUGGGCUAAGACUGACGCUCAUGCACGAAA